UCCUACGGGGGGCUGCAGUGGGGAAUAUUGGGCAAUGGGCGAAAGCCUGACCCAGCAACGCCGCGUGAAGGAAGAAGGUCUUCGGAUCGUAAACUUCUAUCCUUGGUGAAGAUAAUGACGGUAGCCGAGAAGGAAGCCCCGGCUAACUACGUGCCAGCAGCCGCGGUAAUACGUAGGGGGCAAGCGUUGUCCGGAAUGAUUGGGCGUAAAGGGCGCGUAGGCGGCCUGGUAAGUCUGGAGUGAAAGUCCUGCUUUUAAGGUGGGAAUUGCUUUGGAUACUGUCGGGCUUGAGUGCAGGAGAGGUAAGUGGAAUUCCCGGUGUAGCGGUGAAAUGCGUAGAGAUCGGGAGGAACACCAGUGGCGAAGGCGACUUACUGGACUGUAACUGACGCUGAGGCGCGAAAGUGUGGGGAGCAAACAGGAUUAGAUACCCUGGUAGUCGU
rnacentral:rRNA from 2 species